rnacentral:rRNA from 1 species
AGAACGAACGCUGGCGGCAUGCCUAAUACAUGCAAGUCGAACGAACUCUUCGGAGUUAGUGGCGCACGGGUGCGUAACGCGUGGGAAUCUGCCCUUGGGUUCGGAAUAACAGUUGGAAACGACUGCUAAUACCGGAUGAUGACGAAAGUCCAAAGAUUUAUCGCCCAGGGAUGAGCCCGCGUAGGAUUAGCUAGUUGGUGAGGUAAAGGCUCACCAAGGCGACGAUCCUUAGCUGGUCUGAGAGGAUGAUCAGCCACACUGGGACUGAGACACGGCCCAGACUCCUACGGGAGCAGCAGUAGGGAAUAUUGGACAAGU